UUACUGGAGUGAUUCCUUCUAAGGGGCUUUUGGGGCUUAAGGGAUCGUCCGUGACUUCCUACAACAUCAACCCUUACCCUUCUUUUGCCGUCGGAUCUAACAUUCAAGAGAGCUCAGACCCAGCCAUUGCCGCAAUGUUCGAAGCUUUAGUCAAUAACAUACCCACUGCA